CAGCCGCGGUAAUACAGAGGGGGCAAGCGUUGUUCGGAAUUACUGGGCGUAAAGGGCGCGUAGGCGGCCUUCUAAGUCGAACGUGAAAUCCCCGGGCUCAACCCGGGAACUGCGUCCGAUACUGGAAGGCUUGAAUCCGGGAGAGGGAUGCGGAAUUCCAGGUGUAGCGGUGAAAUGCGUAGAUAUCUGGAGGAACACCGGUGGCGAAGGCGGCAUCCUGGACCGGCAUUGACGCUGAGGCGCGAAAGCCAGGGGAGCAAACGGGAUUAGAUACCCCGGUAGUCCUGGCCCUAAACGAUGAAUGCUUGGUGUGGCGGGUAUCGAUCCCUGCCGUGCCGAAGCUAACGCAUUAA
rnacentral:rRNA from 1 species